ensembl:lncRNA
AUUAUCCUCCUUGGAUAUUAGAACAAAGGCCAUAGAUAUGAGUGAUCAUAACAACUUGACAGGUGAAGGGAUAUAAUUACAAACAACCCUGUCAUGGAGGGAGUCGAUUUAGUCUGUGUUCCUCAUUGUGCAAACAGAAAUAAAUAGAAUGCUUUGUAGGGCCCCUGAGGUAACAGGUCUCCUGGCAUUUGGCUACUUUCUGGCUCCAAAGAGUAAAUUGUAAAUUCACAGAAAUGAGCUCUCAGUCUCCUAACCAGAGGACCUCCAUCAAACUGUGGACUCCCCUCGAACUGGAGAAGAUGACAUGGAAUUUGAGAUGUGGUGGCUCUGAUGACCUGCAGUUGUACCUAUCAACCAUUACCCAGCUCUUACUCCAGGACUCCGAACACUUUUUGUGGAACAGACUUUGCUGUGUCCGGUGAGUUUAUAUUUCCUAUACUACAGUAUAUUCAUCUCUCUUUGGGGUCAGCAUUUCCCCUGGUAUUUUGUGUUAGUUGUUGUUCAGUUGCUAAUUUGUGUCUGACUCUUUGCGACCCCAUGUACUGCAGCAAGCCAGGCUCCUCUGUCCUUCACUAUCUCCUAGAAUUUGCUCAAAUUUUGUGUUAGUAAAUGUUCUUUUAAAAAAAAGGAAACCGUUCUUAAAGUCUUUAUUGAAUGUGUUGCCAUAUUGCUUCUGUUUCAUGGUUUUUGGUUUUUUGACCAUGAGGUAUAUGGGAUCUCAGUUCCCUGGCCAGGGAUUGAAUCCACACCCCCUGCAUUGGAAGAUGAAGUUCUAACCACUGGACCGCCAAGGAAGUCCCAGUAAAUGUUCUUAAAGUUACUGGUUUUUCUUGGUUUGUGGUUUGAUUCACUUGUAUAUUCUGAGGAAAGCUAUGAAACACAUUCAAGAACAAAAACACACAGGCACGUAUGCACAGAUUGUGCAUGAAAUUUUAGGAGAAUCAAGGAUCCCCUAGGACCUUCCUAAGCGGGGUCCCCAGGCCAGCAGCACCAGCAUUGUUGAGAGCUUGUUGAAGAGGCAAAUCCUUCGGCCCUCCUAAUCAGAAACUCUGGGGCUGAGGACCAGUGAUCUGGGCAUUAAUAAGCUUUCCAGAUGAUUCUGAUGACCGAAUGUUUAAGAACCGCAGCAUGAGAGGAUGCCAUUCACAUCCUGCAAUAAAUAUCAGCUCUCCAAGAGCA